rnacentral:rRNA from 1 species
GACGAACGCUGGCGGCGUGCUUAACACAUGCAAGUCGAACGGAAAGGCCCUGCUUUUGUGGGGUGCUCGAGUGGCGAACGGGUGAGUAACACGUGAGUAACCUGCCCUUGACUUUGGGAUAACUUCAGGAAACUGGGGCUAAUACCGGAUAGGAGCUCCUGCUGCAUGGUGGGGGGUGGAAAGUUUCGGCGGUUGGGGAUGGACUCGCGGCUUAUCAGCUUGUUGGUGGGGUAGCGGCUUACCAAGGCUUUGACGGGUAGCCGGCCUGAGAGGGUGACCGGCCACAUUGGGACUGAGAUACGGCCCAGACUCCUACGGGAGGCAGCAGUGGGGAAUAUUGCACAAUGGGCGGAAGCCUGAUGCAGCAACGCCGCGUGCGGGAUGACGGCCUUCGGGUUGUAAACCGCUUUCGCCUGUGACGAAGCGUGAGUGACGGUAAUGGGUAAAGAAGCACCGGCUAACUACGUG